rnacentral:rRNA from 1 species
CUGUACUGACACUGAGCUCGAAAGUAUGGGUAGCAAACAGGAUUAGAUACCCUGGUAGUCCAUACCGUAAACGAUGAAUGCUAAGUGUUGGAGGGUUUCCCCCUUCAGUGCUGCAGCUAACGCAUUAAGCAUUCCGCUGGGGAGUACGGCCGCAAGGCUGAAACUCAAAGGAAUUGACGGGGGCCCGCACAAGCGGUGGAGCAUGUGGUUUAAUUCGAAGCUACGCGAAGAACCUUACCAGGUCUUGACAUACUAUGCAAAUCUAAGAGAUUAGACGUUCCCUUCGGGGACAUGGAUACAGGUGGUGCAUGGUUGUCGUCAGCUCGUGUCGUGAGAUGUUGGGUUAAGUCCCGCAACGAGCGCAACCCUUAUUAUCAGUUGCCAGCAUUAAGUUGGGCACUCUGGUGAGACUGCCGGUGACAAACCGGAGGAAGGUGGGGAUGACGUCAAAUCAUCAUGCCCCUUAUGACCUGGGCUACACACGUGCUACAAUGGAUGGUACAACGAGUUGCGAACUCGCGAGAGUAAGCUAAUCUCUUAAAGCCAUUCUCAGUUCGGAUUGUAGGCUGCAACUCGCCUACAUGAAGUCGGAAUCGCUAGUAAUCGCGGAUCAGCAUGCCGCGGUGAAUACGUUCCCGGGCCUUGUACACACCGCCCGUCACACCAUGAGAGUUUGUAACACCCAAAGUCGGUGGGGUAACCUUUAGGAACCAGCCGCCUAAGGUGGGACAGAUGAUUAGGGUGAAGUCGUAACAAGGUAACCA